GUCAGCAGUCAGUUCACUGGAUGGAGGCAUGGGGGCUCCGCAUGAGAGGAACGAGUAUGGCGCUGUCUUUGAGAACAACUCAGUUUAUUCUGAACUCAUUCACUAUUGACAUGGGAGAAUAAAAGCUGCAAAAUAUAAUCAAGCCUCCUCCUUUCCCUUCUAAACAAAGAAAGAUACCUUCAGCUUGUGUCCAGUUGACAAGAACCAACCAGCAUACCGCUACUGAGCAUGGCAUUGUUUUACAUAUAUGUCACUGAGAAGAAGAAAACAGCAUACGGUCUGAAAAUAAGAGAAACAGUUCACCUCUCACUAAAGGCACACAACUAAGUUUUGGGGAAAGCUAGCUGAUAUUUCCCGAGGACAGUUUAGUGAUCUGGGAAGAGGCUUACAUGUCAAGCAAAGGAGACUUCUUAGCCAAGACUGAACUGGGAUUUCUUGGCCACCGGCUUUUUAUCUCAGUAUCCAAUCCCUCAAGCCCUGUCAAGCCUUCAGAGGACUACAACUCAUAUGCAUACAAAUCACAACACAAGUCACCUAUGAGACAAAACUACUUUCAACCCCAAACCACAGUUCAGUCCCUGCAGCUGCUCCUCCUUCCAAGCACGUGGAGAUCUUGCCAGGAGCCACCUCUGUUGACUUUCUUCCGGGCUCUUCAUCUAAAAAGAACAUACAAAUGUAAGGGAAAGGGGAAAGGAGAGUUGGCAUUGGUGCCUGACAGUGUGCCUGGUGACGAGUGGUUUCCUAUAAAAGCAAUCAUGAAAUUAACAUCGGGAUUCCCUUUGACAUAUGGCUCAUCAGCCUCCUCUGACUGCAUCAGCCAAGUGUUCAUUACUACUACAAUGAAGACCCAGAAGAGAACAGGAA